UACGGAGGGUGCGAGCGUUAAUCGGAAUUACUGGGCGUAAAGCGCACGUAGGCGGCGUUAUAAGUGGGAUGUGAAACCCCCGGGCUUAACCUGGGACUUGCAUACCAGACUGUAAGGCUAGAGUAUGAGAGAGGGUGGUGGAAUUUCCGGUGUAGCGGUGAAAUGCGUAGAGAUCGGAAGGAACAUCAGUGGCGAAGGCGGCCACCUGGCUUAAUACUGACGCUGAGGAGCGAAAGCGUGGGGAUCAAACAGG
rnacentral:rRNA from 1 species